UAGGGAAUCUUCGGCAAUGGACGAAAGUCUGACCGAGCAACGCCGCGUGAGUGAAGAAGGUUUUCGGAUCGUAAAACUCUGUUGUUAGAGAAGAACAAGGACGUUAGUAACUGAACGUCCCCUGACUGUAUCUAACCAGAAAGCCACGGCUAACUACGUGCCAGCAGCCGCGGUAAUACGUAGGUGGCAAGCGUUGUCCGGAUUUAUUGGGCGUAAAGCGAGCGCAGGCGGUUUCUUAAGUCUGAUGUGAAAGCCCCCGGCUCAACCGGGGAGGGUCAUUGGAAACUGGGAGACUUGAGUGCAGAAGAGGAGAGUGGAAUUCCAUGUGUAGCGGUGAAAUGCGUAGAUAUAUGGAGGAACACAAGUGGCGAAGGCGGCUCUAUGGUCUGUAACUGACGCUGAGGCUCGAAAGCGUGGGGAGCAAACAGG
rnacentral:rRNA from 1 species